AUGGCGGAGACCUUGGUGAGCAUGGCGAGGUCCAUGUUGGGAGGCGCCAUCAGCAUGGCAACUUCCGCUGCUGCCGCAGAGCUUAGCUUGGUGAUGGGCGUGCAAAAGGAUAUUUGGUUCAUCAAAGAUGAGCUAAAGACGAUGCAGGCAUUCUUGGCGGCCGCUGAAGCAACGAAGAACAGAGACAUGCUGCUGAAGGUGUGGGCAGAGCAAGUAAGGGACCUGUCCUACAAUAUUGAAGAUUGCCUUGAUGAAUUUAUGGUUCAUGUGAGAAGCCAAAGCCUAACAAAAAGGCUGAUGAAGCUCAAAGAUCGUCGUAGGAUUGCCAUCCAAAUCCGCAACUUGAAAUCAAGAGUUGAAGAGGUGAGUAGCAGGAACUCACGCUACAACUUAAUCAAGACGGAAGCCUCCAGCAACAAUGAUGAGGAGGUUUCUUACAUAGAAGAUGUACGUAAUCACUCGGAAAAAAAUACUGAUGAAGCGGAACUUGUGGGCUUUAAAAAGCCUAAGGAGGAUUUGAUUAAGCUGAUGGACGUCCACAAUAAAGAUGGUUGUGCCCAAGCUAUAUGUGUUGUUGGCAUGGGUGGUUUAGGCAAGACUACUCUUGCAAGAAAGGUAUAUGAAAGUAAGGAAGAUAUUGUGAAGAGUAUUUCUUGUUGUGCUUGGAUCACAGUCUCGCAGUCAUUUUCUGGGAUAGAGAUGCUCAAGGAUAUGAUCAGCCAGCUUCUGGGUGACAAGUCACUGAAGGAAUCCUUGAGAAAACUUGAAGGGAAACUGGAGCAAGUAGAUGACCUCGCCGAGUACCUCAUUGAAGGGCUUAAGGAGAAGAGGUACUUCAUUGUUCUGGAUGACUUGUGGUCCAUAGGUGCGUGGGGGUGGAUCAAAGAUAUUAUUCUUCCUAGUAGUAACAAGAAGGGAAGUCGGAUAAUAGUAACAACACGAGAUGUUGGUCUAGCAAAGGAAUGUACUCGUGAAUCCCUCAUCUACCAGCUAAAGCCCUUAGAGCCGGUCGAUGCCAAAAAAUUGCUUCUAAAAAAAGUAGGAAAAAGAUGUGAACUUCAAAAAUAUAGUUGA
rnacentral:rRNA from 1 species